UACGUAGGGGGCAAGCGUUGUCCGGAAUUAUUGGGCGUAAAGAGCGUGUGGGCGGUCCGGUAAGUCGGCUGUGAAAGUCCAGGGCUCAACCCUGGGAUGCCGGUCGAUACUGCCGGACUAGAGUUCGGAAGAGGCGAGUGGAAUUCCCGGUGUAGCGGUGAAAUGCGUAGAUAUCUGGAGGAACACCGGUGGCGAAGGCGGCGUCCUGGACCAACACUGACACUGAUGAGCGAAAGCCAGGGGAGCAAACGGG
rnacentral:rRNA from 1 species